ACGGGCCUCCCAUUCCAAUUUCCCCUUUUUAAGCCUUUCUCCCCAGCCUAAAGUUUUAAGAGGUUUCUGGAGGCGUAAGGAUUCUAUUUAUGUUUAAUGAACAAAAAAAUUAGUUUCAAUGAAAACUUUAUUUGAAAUGAUGAAUUCAAGCUGUUACCAGCCUCCCAAGUAAGAUGCCAGAGACUUCAAACACUGCUGUUGUUUCUCAAGGAAAAGAUCCAGUUAACAAGGAAUCAUUCUCUCUUCUUCAAUAGCUGCUUACGAAAUAAAAACAUCAGUAGGAGGGGAAGGAGGAAGGAAGGAGAAGAAAGAGGAAGAAUAGGAGGAGAAGAGGAAGAGAGGAAGAAGUCGUGAACAGCCCUCCUGCAUUUUGCAUCAGGUAGAAAAGUCAGUUGAAUGUUGGGAAGAACACAAAUACUCACACAUUCCUCCCCAUUCUCUGAAUUCCCACAAAGACUGUUAUUGCUGGGGCUCAUAAAAUUAUACCCCAAAGUAUGAUGCUUUGGCAUCCAGAGUGCUUUGAACUAUAGGAGAUUGAAGGCCCCAGAAGCCAAGUUUCCCUCUGACCUUCUCCUGCCUUCCUGUCUUCCACCCCCUGCUUUUCCCCUGAAAUCACAAGACCCUGGUUCCAGAGCGGUCCUGCUUUACACCGAGGGAAAGGAAUGUCAUACAGAAAGGCCAAGAAGAAUCUGAAGAGAUGUCCAAUCACCUUUUCACGUGGCUGCCCAUUCUUCAUUGAACCUAAGCAUUAAAAUAGACAGUUUCCCCUGGGUCUUUGGGUCUUCAUUUCUGAAGACUCCAUGUCAUGUAAAACUUUGAUUAAAUAAAUGUAUCAUGCA
rnacentral:lncRNA from 10 species